rnacentral:rRNA from 1 species
UACAGAGGGGCAAGCGUUGUUCGGAAUUACUGGGCGUAAAGGGCGCGUAGGCGGCCCUCUAAGUCAGACGUGAAAUCCCUCGGCUCAACCGGGGAACUGCGUCUGAGACUGGAAGGCUUGAAUUCGGGAGAGGGAUGUGGAAUUCCAGGUGUAGCAGUGAAAUGCGUAGAUAUCGAGAGGAACACCUGCGGCGAAGGCGGGUUGCUGGGCUGACACUUGACGCUGAUGCGCGAAAGCCAGGGGAGCGAACGGG